UACGAAGGGGGCUAGCGUUGCUCGGAAUCACUGGGCGUAAAGCGCACGUAGGCGGCUUGUUAAGUCAGGGGUGAAAUCCUGGAGCUCAACUCCAGAACUGCCUUUGAUACUGGCGAGCUUGAGUCCAGGAGAGGUGAGUGGAACUGCGAGUGUAGAGGUGAAAUUCGUAGAUAUUCGCAAGAACACCAGUGGCGAAGGCGGCUCACUGGCCCGGUACUGACGCUGAGGUGCGAAAGCGUGGGGAGCAAGCAGG
rnacentral:rRNA from 1 species